AUGCGCGUGACGGCCUGUGGGAUGUGGGAUUCGUGCUCACCAAGGAGGACCCCACUGCGGUCAGGGACAUGCUGCCGGACUGUAAGGUCAUUAUUGUCCUUUUGGGGUCACCUUUCCUGCACUGAGAUCCGAAAGUUGCCUCUAGGCCGGAAAGACUGCACUGAGAUCUGGCAAGUGCCUGUCAGCAGAAAGUGGGGUAAAUAUCUGACUCAUCUCAUUUGUUUUCUUUCUGAGGCUUUAUCCUUCUAUACCACUUGUGGCCCAGUGCCCCUUACCCUUACUUCAAUAUGUAUUUUAAAUAUAUUUUUCCAGUUUUCUACUUAUUUGGGGUGGGAGUAUAAAUCAGUUCUACUUAUUUCAUCACGUUAGAAGGGAAGUCUUACCUACCACUUCAUUUUCAAAACUUCUUUCCCCCUAACAUUAGCCUGAAGUGCCUACCUGUG
rnacentral:lncRNA from 1 species